CUCGGGCCUUGUACACACCGCCCGUCACACCACGAAAGUCGGCAAUACCCGAAGCCGGUGGCCUAACCCGCAAGGGAGGGAGCCGUCGAAGGUAGGGUCGAUGAUUGGGGUG
rnacentral:rRNA from 1 species